rnacentral:misc_RNA from 1 species
GAUAAUUUGGAGCUGUGGGGGGCUGCAGUGAAGUGGGGGUCAGAAUUUAAGUUCAAUUCUUCUAGGGCGUGUUGUGAGGCCUGCAAGGCUAUGUGUCAUGGCAAUGAUGGGCCUUGUUUGUGUGAUACUUGGGUGUUUUGUGGGAAUAAAGAAACUUGUGGAUCGAAAUUUGGUGAGUGUUGGUUGAAGAAACAGAAGGAUACAUUGACCCCUGAUAGGCAGGAAGCAGGUGAUAAAGUCAGCUGGACUUCAGGACUCAUCUUUGGAAAAGGAGAGGGCAUUGUUGGCUUGGAAACAGACUAUGGCACUCUUCAUAUAAAACUUUUCCCUGAUUGUGCUCCACAUUCUGUAGCUUACAUUCUUGAGUUGUUAGCAUUGCGCCAUUGCGCUGGUUGUGAAUUUUUUCGUGCAGAGAGCCGGGGCCAAUCUUGGGAUUCAGAAGGAAAGCACAUAAAAAAUGCUCCUUUUGGCCCUCCUUUUGCCUUGAUUCAAGGAACAUUGGAAGCUCAAGGAAAAACAUUCAAGAAAAUCCCAAAAGAAGUUUGCCCAACCAUAAGAAGGGGUUCAGUUGCUUGGGUUGGUUCUGGCCCAGAAUUCUUGAUUAGCCUAGCCAACCACCAAGAAUGGAAAAAAGCAUAUACUGUCUUUGGUUCUGUUCUUCCAGAAGACAUGAAAAUUGCAGAGAAAAUUGCCCAACUCCCUACCAAGUCAGAUGUUUGGAACAACAUUAACGUAUCUGUAUUGGAAAAGUCUGUUCCCUUGAUGUUCGGAAGUAUCAAGACAAGUCAUGGAGAACUUGGAACAAAUGUGAAAUCAGAUUGAAAAUAUUUAUAGUAUAACAAUUCCUUUGUUAUUCAGAAGAAUCAACUUGAAUAUGGAAGAACCAUGUACAAGAGUGAAGCUAUAUGGUUGGUGAAGCAUACCGACGUGCCCUCUUAUUUGGUUUUGUUUGAGUUUUGCUUGUUUAUGCUCCCUCAACUGUACAUUGUGAACUCAAUUUUUGUCUGUCUUUUGUUUAUAUAUGUUACGAUCCUCUGUUUUUUACCAUAAUAUGAUCAAAUGUAUGCAUUAAUGCCCAUGUUUAGCCCCAG